GAUGAACGCUGGCGGCGUGCCUAAUACAUGCAAGUCGAGCGAACCACUUCGGUGGUGAGCGGCGAACGGGUGAGUAACACGUAGGUGAUCUGCCCAUCAGACGGGGACGACGAUUGGAAACGAUCGCUAAUACCGGAUAGGACGAAAGUUUAAAGGUGCUUCUGGCACCGCUGAUGGAUGAGCCUGCGGCGCAUUAGCUAGUUGGUAGGGUAAAGGCCUACCAAGGCGACGAUGCGUAGCCGACCUGAGAGGGUGAGCGGCCACACUGGGACUGAGACACGGCCCAGACUCCUACGGGAGGCAGCAGUAGGGAAUCUUUGGCAAUGGGCGAAAGCCUGACCGAGCAACGCCGCGUGAAUGAUGAAGGCCUUCGGGUUGUAAAAUUCUGUUAUAAGGGAAGAACGACUUUAGUAGGAAAUGGCUAGAGUGUGACGGUACCUUAUGAGAAAGCCACGGCUAACUACGUGCCAGCAGCCGCCGUAAGAC
rnacentral:rRNA from 1 species